rnacentral:rRNA from 1 species
UACAGAGGGUGCAAGCGUUAAUCGGAAUUACUGGGCGUAAAGGGCGCGUAGGCGGCCUUCUAAGUCGAACGUGAAAUCCCUGGGCUCAACCCAGGAACUGCGUCUGAUACUGGGUGGCUUGAAUCCGGGAGAGGGAUGCGGAAUUCCAGGUGUAGCGGUGAAAUGCGUAGAUAUCUGGAGGAACACCGGUGGCGAAGGCGGCAUCCUGGACCGACACUGACGCUGAGGAGCGAAAGCCAGGGGAGCAAACGGG